rnacentral:rRNA from 1 species
AGCUCGUGUUGUGAAAUGUUGGGUUAAGUCCCGCAACGAGCGCAACCCUUAUCCUUUGUUGCCAGCGAUUCGGUCGGGAACUCAAAAGAGACUGCCGGUGAUAAACCGGAGGAAGGUGGGGAUGACGUCAAGUCAUCAUGGCCCUUACGAGUAGGGCUACACACGUGCUACAAUGGCGUAUACAAAGAGAAGCGACCUCGCGAGAGCAAGCGGAACUCAUAAAGUACGUCGUAGUCCGGAUUGGAGUCUGCAACUCGACUCCAUGAAGUCGGAAUCGCUAGUAAUCGUAGAUCAGAAUGCUACGGUGAAUACGUUCCCGGGCCUUGUACACACCGCCCGUCACACCAUGGGAGUGGGUUGCAAAAGAAGUAGGUAGCUUAACCUUCGGGAGGGCGCUUACCACUUUGUGAUUCAUGACUGGGGUGAAGUCGUAACAAGGUAACCGUAGGGGAACCUGCGGUUGGAUCACCUCCUUA